rnacentral:misc_RNA from 1 species
GCCCUUUCUCUUCACAAACCAUCAUUUUUAACUCUCCUAUCUGUUCUUUUAAUCUCUGCUGCUCUAUUCAUCUUCCUUAUAUGGCGGACGUCUCCAGGAACAGAACCUCCGCCUCUGUCCCUUCUACAUCGCAGCCCAGCCGUCUUCAGAGCCGGCGACCGGCGUCCUUGCAGAUCAAUCCCCCCUCUUCCUCCUGCUGGAACGCAGCCAUCCCUCUUCUGUCUCCUCUUGUUACUUCACCUGUCGCGAUUGAUCGGAUGGCAGAAAUGAAAUCGCGAGAGGAUCACCAGCAGCCGUCUCAGCAUCGAAAUCAGAGAUCGGAGCCGGAGAAGGUUGCAGUGUUCAAGAAGUGGCAGCACCUGGCAGCUCCUUUCUGUUGCGAGCCGCCCUCUUUUGCCCCUAAGUUUUUUGUGCCUGUAUAGAUAUGGGAAGGAAAGGAGCGCUUAAAAUUUAGGGGUUUUAUAGAUCUUCAUCUAGUAAUUGUAUACAAAGCUUGGAUUUCGUGUUCAUACGAUUAACGCUAAUCAUUUUUUUUUCCUUAAUCCUCUUAUUUUCCUACUAAUUUUGUUUGAGUUUUUGUUUAACAUCAAUUUCAAUGAAAUUAGAAUGACUUGAAACUCUGAAACUAAAAAUAAAAUAAAUUUUAUCUGUGUUUAGAAUUUUUUUUUUUUUCCUUUGUG